UACAGAGGGCGCGAGCGUUGUCCGGAAUCACUGGGCGUAAAGGGCGCGUAGGUGGCCACUAUAAGGCCGCGGUGAAAGUUCGGGGCUCAACCCUGAAUCGGCCGCGGCGACUGUAGGGCUUGGGCACUGUAGAGGCAGAUGGAAUUCCGGGUGUAGCGGUGGAAUGCGUAGAGAUCCGGAAGAACACCGGUGGCGCAAGCGGCGCUCUGGGUCGAGCCUGACACUGAGACGCGAAGGCAUGGGGAGCGAACGGG
rnacentral:rRNA from 1 species